rnacentral:lncRNA from 1 species
UUGUAAGGACUUCAGUUCUGAAUUGGCUGCUGCGGCUGCUGCUGAGCGGGAGGGCCAUGAGGCGGCUGCUGUCCUGCACCUUCUUGCGGUGGUUGCUGAGAUGAACUAGCCUGUGCCUGUGCUGGCUGUGCUAGCAUCGGCUGGUAAGGUGGAUAUUGUGGUGGGUAGGGCAUGCGUGGUGGAGGCAUGUAGCCACCAUAUGGUGGUGGAGGUGGAUAAUAUGGUGGAUACUGACCAUGGUAGUAUGGCGGUGGUGCAGGAUAGCCACCCUGUGCUGAGCUGCUUGAUGGCUGAGCUUGCCCAGCUUGCUGCGGCCCUGGUUUGCCUUCACCGUCCUGUGAUUUUACUAUAGCACCCAUCCUC